CGUGAACCGGGGAGGGGGGAUGCAAGGCCUUCCUUGGCUGGGCGGUGGCGUGCCGAGUUCCUCUGCCGUGUUGGGUUGGUUUCCCUUUUCCUUCCGGUGGGGGGCUUGCCGCUGCGCGGCUCUAACGGUGUCCCCGCUGAUGUUUCAGGAGCCGCUGCGGAAGAGAGAAGGAGAAGCGGCGUGGGAACGCGGGAGGCAGGAGCGAGCGCGCAAGCAAGCAAGCAAGCAAGAAGAGGAUGCGGAAGCGUGCAGACGCGGGGGGGAAGGAGAGAGGCUCCCUGGGCAAAGCACCCGUCCCGUUAGCGGGGCGGCAGUCACAUUGAGUCCCAUUUGAGUUUGAGCGUUGCCGGCGCCUUGGCCGGCUUUGUGCUGGGCGACCUCCCUGUAAGCAGGGCUCGGGUCUUUGCUUUUGCUGUAGUUGGCCUUUUGCCUUGCUGCUCCUUUGGCUGCCUGGGGAGCGUGGGCCCCUGUAACGCAGGGCGAGAGCCACCUCUCCGCACCUGAGUGGGAAACGGAGCUCGCCGGACCCCGAGGCCACCCUGUAAGCAGGGUAGUGCCGUUUCCCCGCCCCUCUUCCUCCUGCGGCCCCUCGGCAUCAUCGUUGCCUGGAGGUGGCCUGUCAAUGCGAUGCGACGGCCCCGUACUCGGGGUGUGCGUCACGGCAUCUGGCCUUUGGCUUUAGCUGGGAAGCCCCUUGGCACGUUGAGGUCUGUGGCCUCCGUGCAGGCUAGGGACAGGUCACAGGCUCUUGUCUGUUGCCCGCGGUUGUGGGUUUAUUCCCAGGGUUUGGCUGCGCUGCGUUGUCCUUCCCUUUGGGAAAGUCGCCUGUGUGUGUGCGCGUUGCCCUUCCUUUCCUUGUUUGUGUUUGUGGAGUGAGAGCGACUGAGCUUUCCCUUUAGGCCCCCACCAAGAUGGCUGCAGCUUAGCUUCGACUUCCCUGGGGGGAACGGAGGACUGUGGUGCACGCCGCAAAAGGGGUGUUCCCUCUCAGUCCCGCGAGCGCAGCGAGUGUCCUGUCUUCCUCCUUUGUACUUGGUGUGGAUCAGGGCCACGUGGUGGUUGUGUGGCCGAGGCCGCUCUGUAGCCAGGGCUUGGGCCUGUUCUUGCGUGGGCGCCUGUUCCGCUGGCGGCGUGACCGCCCCGUAGCCGGGGCGUGUGUCCCAAGCUGCGGAGCCCUCUGUCCCCCGAGCGGCCCGCCCGCCCUGUCAUCAGGCGCGGGGAGGCUGCGGCGUUGCAGCCGGCUGCUCUAGCCAUCCAGCUGGUGGGAAUGACCCCUCCCUGUCCCGUCAGAGGGUGCAGGUUGAGGCGCUGCUUUUGCGUGUGGGGCGACCUCCCCGCUCGGUGGGUCGAGGCUGCUCCCUGGGUUCCCAAAGACGAGACGUUGGUGCUGUUGUGGUGCUGCCGGGCGGGCCAGCCUGUAGCUCAGGCGUUGGCGGGAGCCUCGUGCUCCGCGGGGCUUCUUGGUGAGGGUGGGCAGCGGGGGCACCGUCCUGUAGGCAGGGCUGCGCGUGCCCCCCGCGUGUGCUGGCUUGGUGAGCUGCGUUGUGAGAGACCCCCUGUACUCAGGCGGGAAUGUGGCCCCGGCCUUUCAGAGGCACGGGGCCGCGAGACGUGGGCUUGGGCUUGCGCCCUCCCCGGAAUCAGGGCUGGGGCCCCGACCGCGGCAUUUGGCCGUGCCGCCCCGCUGCCUGGCAGCUGAGAGUCGCUCCCGCCGCUGGGGGGGAAACCGAGCUCUGUGGCUCCAGGGGUGUCGUCCACCCGCCUGUAAUCAGGGUCUGGGUGCGCGAGCGCUUGUGCUCAGCUGGCAGCCUGUGUGGGGUGACCGCCCCGCUAGCGGGGUGCGGGUCCAGGUGCCCCCGGAGUGGGAGAGAAGGAGCCUCCCGCGGCCGCUAGGGAUGGGGGCUGCCCUGUAAGGCAGGGAGCGACAGUGCCCCGCAGUCCCAGGCCCUUUGCAAUGGAGGCAGUGGCCGGGGGUCCCCUGUAAGCAGGGAAGCUGCCUCUUUGGCCGCUGCUGUGUGUGUGCCCAGCUGCAUUUGCCCAGUCUGCCCGCCUCUGUGAUCCCCCGCAGCACCGGCUGGAAGCGCGCCGUGCGUCCGUGAGGAGCCGCUGCGGAAGAGAGAAGGAGAAGCGGCGUGGGAACGCGGGAGGCAGGAGCGAGCGCGCAAGCAAGCAAGCAAGCAAGAAGAGGAUGCGGAAGCGUGCAGACGCGGGGGGGAAGGAGAGAGGCUCCCUGGGCAAAGCACCCGUCCCGUUAGCGGGGCGGCAGUCACAUUGAGUCCCAUUUGAGUUUGAGCGUUGCCGGCGCCUUGGCCGGCUUUGUGCUGGGCGACCUCCCUGUAAGCAGGGCUCGGGUCUUUGCUUUUGCUGUAGUUGGCCUUUUGCCUUGCUGCUCCUUUGGCUGCCUGGGGAGCGUGGGCCCCUGUAACGCAGGGCGAGAGCCACCUCUCCGCACCUGAGUGGGAAACGGAGCUCGCCGGACCCCGAGGCCACCCUGUAAGCAGGGUAGUGCCGUUUCCCCGCCCCUCUUCCUCCUGCGGCCCCUCGGCAUCAUCGUUGCCUGGAGGUGGCCUGUCAAUGCGAUGCGACGGCCCCGUACUCGGGGUGUGCGUCACGGCAUCUGGCCUUUGGCUUUAGCUGGGAAGCCCCUUGGCACGUUGAGGUCUGUGGCCUCCGUGCAGGCUAGGGACAGGUCACAGGCUCUUGUCUGUUGCCCGCGGUUGUGGGUUUAUUCCCAGGGUUUGGCUGCGCUGCGUUGUCCUUCCCUUUGGGAAAGUCGCCUGUGUGUGUGCGCGUUGCCCUUCCUUUCCUUGUUUGUGUUUGUGGAGUGAGAGCGACUGAGCUUUCCCUUUAGGCCCCCACCAAGAUGGCUGCAGCUUAGCUUCGACUUCCCUGGGGGGAACGGAGGACUGUGGUGCACGCCGCAAAAGGGGUGUUCCCUCUCAGUCCCGCGAGCGCAGCGAGUGUCCUGUCUUCCUCCUUUGUACUUGGUGUGGAUCAGGGCCACGUGGUGGUUGUGUGGCCGAGGCCGCUCUGUAGCCAGGGCUUGGGCCUGUUCUUGCGUGGGCGCCUGUUCCGCUGGCGGCGUGACAGCCCCGUAGCCGGGGCGUGUGUCCCAAGCUGCGGAGCCCUCUGUCCCCCGAGCGGCCCGCCCGCCCUGUCAUCAGGCGCGGGGAGGCUGCGGCGUUGCAGCCGGCUGCUCUAGCCAUCCAGCUGGUGGGAAUGACCCCUCCCUGUCCCGUCAGAGGGUGCAGGUUGAGGCGCUGCUUUUGCGUGUGGGGCGACCUCCCCGCUCGGUGGGUCGAGGCUGCUCCCUGGGUUCCCAAAGACGAGACGUUGGUGCUGUUGUGGUGCUGCCGGGCGGGCCAGCCUGUAGCUCAGGCGUUGGCGGGAGCCUCGUGCUCCGCGGGGCUUCUUGGUGAGGGUGGGCAGCGGGGGCACCGUCCUGUAGGCAGGGCUGCGCGUGCCCCCCGCGUGUGCUGGCUUGGUGAGCUGCGUUGUGAGAGACCCCCUGUACUCAGGCGGGAAUGUGGCCCCGGCCUUUCAGAGGCACGGGGCCGCGAGACGUGGGCUUGGGCUUGCGCCCUCCCCGGAAUCAGGGCUGGGGCCCCGACCGCGGCAUUUGGCCGUGCCGCCCCGCUGCCUGGCAGCUGAGAGUCGCUCCCGCCGCUGGGGGGGAAACCGAGCUCUGUGGCUCCAGGGGUGUCGUCCACCCGCCUGUAAUCAGGGUCUGGGUGCGCGAGCGCUUGUGCUCAGCUGGCAGCCUGUGUGGGGUGACCGCCCCGCUAGCGGGGUGCGGGUCCAGGUGCCCCCGGAGUGGGAGAGAAGGAGCCUCCCGCGGCCGCUAGGGAUGGGGGCUGCCCUGUAAGGCAGGGAGCGACAGUGCCCCGCAGUCCCAGGCCCUUUGCAAUGGAGGCAGUGGCCGGGGGUCCCCUGUAAGCAGGGAAGCUGCCUCUUUGGCCGCUGCUGUGUGUGUGCCCAGCUGCAUUUGCCCAGUCUGCCCGCCUCUGUGAUCCCCCGCAGCACCGGCUGGAAGCGCGCCGUGCGUCCGUGAGGAGCCGCUGCGGAAGAGAGAAGGAGAAGCGGCGUGGGAACGCGGGAGGCAGGAGCGCGCAAGAACGAAUUUGUUUUUAUUGUCAUUCUCAAUCUGUUAAUCUGUCGAAGCCACAGUUCAAAUGUGUGUAUUGCUCUUUUUUUGCGUCCU